rnacentral:rRNA from 1 species
CCUACGGGCGGCAGCAGUGAGGAAUAUUGGUCAAUGGGCGGGAGCCUGAACCAGCCAAGUCGCGUGAGGGAAGACGGUCCUAUGGAUUGUAAACCUCUUUAGGCGGGGAGCAAUGCCGGGCACGUGUGCCCUGAGGGAGAGUACCCGCAGAAUAAGCAUCGGCUAACUCCGUGCCAGCCGCCGCGGUAAUCCGGGGGAUGCGAGCGUUAUCCGGAUUUAUUUGGUUUAAGGGGUGCGUAGGCGGAUUUUUAAGUCAGCGGUAAAAUGUCCGGGCUCAACCCGGGCCGGCCGUUGAUACUGGGGAUCUUGAGUGGGCGAGAAGUAUGCGGAAUGCGUGGUGUAGCGGUGAAAUGCAUAGAUAUCACGCAGAACUCCGAUUGCGAAGGCAGCAUACCGGCGCCCGACUGACGCUGAGGCACGAAAGCGUGGGGAUCGAACAGGAUUAGAUACCCCAGUAGUC